UAAACUGAAGUGUCGGAGCAACUUAGCUGAUAAUUAGUGACGCACAACGAUAAUUAUCUCACCAAAGCUCUGAUACCAUGUGAGAAAGCACGGGAGAAAAAUAUAAUUGAUAUUAAACAUGAUACAAUGAGCCCUAUAUAUAUACACAUAACCUAUCCUGCUCCUAAUAAACAUUGGAUUAGGCUACUCCUAAUACACAUUGGAUUAGGGUUCUACUAUUACAUAUUCUAACA
rnacentral:lncRNA from 1 species